rnacentral:rRNA from 1 species
GACUACACGGGUAUCUAAUCCCGUUCGCUACCCUGGCUUUCGCAUCUCAGCGUCAGACACAGUCCAGAAAGGCGCCUUCGCCACUGGUGUUCCUCCCAAUAUCUACGCAUUUCACCGCUACACUGGGAAUUCCCCUUUCCUCUCCUGCACUCAAGAAAUCCAGUUUCCAUCGCCAUACGGGGUUGAGCCCCGCAUUUUCACAACAGACUUAGAUUCCCGCCUACAUGCUCUUUACGCCCAAUAAUUCCGGACAACGCUUGCCACCUACGUAUUACCGCGGCUGCUGGCACGUAGUUAGCCGUGGCUUCCUCGUUCAGUACCGUCAAUACCUGCAACUGUUCGCAGCAGGCACUUUCGUCCUAAACAACAGAGCUUUACAGUCCGAAAACCUUCAUCACUCACGCGGCGUUGCUCCGUCAGACUUUCGUCCAUUGCGGAAUAUUCCCCACUGCAGCCCCCCGUAGG